AUGGACGAGCUGUUCUGCGAGCCCUUCCCCAACACGACGUGGCUGCUGCCUCCGGGCUUCCCGCUCGUCAGCUAUCAGGGCUUUUACCUCUCCACGCCGGAGCGGUACGGGAAGAUGCGAGAGGACGGCGUGCUCAGAACCGGCGAGGUAAACGGGUCCGCCGCCGGAGAGCUGCCGGCGUUCGCGUACAUUCACCUCGACCACAACCAGACGGACCAUGACAAGCUCUUCUUCUGCGACGACGACCAGCGGCUCAUGUCCAACAUCCAGUGGUUGGUGAUGAGGACGGACGGCUACAUCGCGCCGGGCCUGUUUCUCGUGAGGGCGUUCCAGGAGGAGCUCGACGCUCUGUUCCCGGAGCGCGACGCCGUGUUCCACCACCUCGGCCGGUAUCUGUUCCAUCCGACCAACCGCGUGUGGGGCCUCAUCACGCGGUACUACGACGCGCACUUCGCGCGGGCACGGCGCGUGGUGGGCAUCCAGGUGCGCGUCUUCCCGUGGCAGGCCGACUCGCCGGAGCUCCUGGAGCAGAUCAAGACGUGCACGCAGAGCCAGAAGCUGCUCCCGGCGUUGCUGCGCGAGGAAGACGACGAGCCGGCGGCCGCGCCCGGUGGCGCGGUCAAACCCACCGCUGUUCUGAUCACCUCUCUCAAGGCUUGGUACUACGACAAGAUCAAGGGGGCGUACUGGGAGCGCGCGACGGCGAACGGCGAGGUGGUGGUGGUGGACCAGCCGAGCCACGAGGAGACCCAGCGCUACCAUGUCAAGUCGCACGAACGCAAGGCUUGGGCAGAGGUGUACCUGCUGAGCACGACGGAUACGCUGGUCACCACCGCCGAGUCGACGUUCGGGUACGUGGCGCAGGGGCUCGGCGGAAUGAGGCCGUGGGUGCUGAGGAUGGGGAUGAUCAACACCACCGUGAGCUGGCCGUGCAGCAGGGACAUGUCCAUGGAGCCGUGCUACCACGUCGCACCCUUGUACGAUUGCCGGCGACGGGAAGAUGCCGGCAAGAUCGUGCCGCAUGUGCGCCACUGCGAGGACUGGCCCACGGGGUUGAAGCUAGUUGAUCCAAAGGAUUAG
rnacentral:rRNA from 1 species